AGCGAACGCUGGCGGCAGGCUUAACACAUGCAAGUCGAGCGGGCAUCCUUGUGGUGUCAGCGGCAGACGGGUGAGUAACGCGUGGGAACGUGCCCUUCGGUUCGGAAUAACUCAGGGAAACUUGAGCUAAUACCGGAUACGUGCGAGAGCAGAAAGGUUUAUCUGCCGAAGGAUCGGCCCGCGUCUGAUUAGCUAGUUGGUGAGGUUACGGCUCACCAAGGCGACGAUCAGUAGCUGGUCUGAGAGGAUGAUCAGCCACACUGGGACUGAGACACGGCCCAGACUCCUACGGGAGGCAGCAGUGGGGAAUAUUGGACAAUGGGGGCAACCCUGAUCCAGCCAUGCCGCGUGAGUGAUGACGACCUUAGGGUUGUAAAGCUCUUUUCUCCGGGACGAUAAUGACGGUACCGGAGGAAUAAGCCCCGGCUAACUUCGU
rnacentral:rRNA from 1 species